UGAAAAUGAACUUGAGGUAAGUGCCUUAAUGGACUCGUUUGGGAGCUGCCACCGUGUCAAAAGCAACUUGUUAGAAUGAGAUCAAGAGAGGGAGGCCUGAUUAAUUAUUUGCAUAUAUUAGAUUGGUGUAUCCGCUAAGACUAAAGCGGGCUCUCUUGACAUCAAGUUAUCCUGCUGAGGUUUAACCAGUCUCUGCACUCAUAAUAAAGGGAUCAUCACCCAUUAGGGAUAUCCUGUUUUCAUCAGAGAAAUUAGUCAUUACUCCGCAUGGUUAAAUUUGUCUUAUUUAUUAUUUCAGGGCGUUUUCAUGCACCUCAAACUCAUCUGCAGGGUGCAAUGAGGGAAGGACUCGGAGGUAAUACGCCAUUCCGUAAGAAACUUUCUUUCUGUGCUCCAAUUACGCCUCCUGAAGGAUUUUUUGCUCAGAUUCAUCCACAGCACCUGCAGAAUGUGAAUUCCCCCCAUCCUUUUGUUCUGUCUCAUUUAACGCCAGCCUCCCCUGAGAAGACGGCAGUGUGUCCUCUUUGAGGGAAGGUGAUCCGGAGUGGCAACCAAACUUUUCUUCCCCCCCUCUCCUUCAAAAAGGUGGGAGAUACAAGGGGGCAAAAAGAAUUCAUUCCGUCUCCCUGCCGUGAAAAGUGUUGGCAAGUGAAGGCGCGGUGGACAUGUUUCCUGCAGAGAAAACCCAGCGAGG